rnacentral:rRNA from 1 species
GAAGGGUGCAAGCGUUAYUCGGAAUUACUGGGCGUAAAGCGUGCGUAGGUGGUUUGUUAAGUCUGUCGUGAAAGCCCCGGGCUCAACCUGGGAAUGGCGAUGGAUACUGGCAGGCUAGAGUGCGGUAGAGGAGAGUGGAAUUCCCGGUGUAGCAGUGAAAUGCGUAGAGAUCGGGAGGAACAUCAGUUGCGAAGGCGGCUCUCUGGACCAGCACUGACACUGAGGCACGAAAGCGUGGGGAGCAAACAGGAUUAGAUACCCUGGUAGUCCGCGCCCUAAACGAUGCGAACUGGACGUUGGGAGCAACUAGGCUCUCAGUGUCGAAGCUAACGCGUUAAGUUCGCCGCCUGGGGAGUACGGUCGCAAGRSUG